AACGAACGCUUGCGGCGCGCCUAAUACAUGCAAGUCGAACGAGAAAGUACCUUCGGGUGCGAGUAAAGUGGCGGACGGGUGAGGAACGCGUGGAUAACAUGCCCUUCAGCGGGGGAUAACUACUCGAAAGAGUAGCUAAUACCGCAUAAGACCACGACACCUGCGGGUGAUGGGGUUAAAGGCUUCGGCCACUGAAGGAUUGGUCCGCGUCCGAUUAGUUUGUUGGUGGGGUAAAGGCCUACCAAGACUACGAUCGGUAGCUGGUCUCAGAGGAUGAUCAGCCACACUGGAACUGAGACACGGUCCAG
rnacentral:rRNA from 1 species